GCCUGGGUGGCUCAGUAGGUUAAGCGACUGAUUUCAGCUCAGGUCAUGAUCUCACGGUUUGUGGGUUCGAGCCCCACGUCAGGGU
rnacentral:tRNA from 1 species